rnacentral:sRNA from 1 species
CAUACAAAUAGUUAAGAGUUUGAUCAUGUUUAUUAUAUCGAUGUUCGAACUGUCUCUUUGACUGUCAUCAGGUGCAUCUAGUGACAUCUGUAAAGGUUUCUCGACUGUCAUCAGGUGCAUCUAUUGCCUGCAGGAAAGGCUUCUUGGUUGCUGUCAUUAGUCAUUUCAGAUAUCGGAAAAGUUUGGCGUUGGGGGCAGGGAGAUAAAGGAGGAAUGGGAAUAGACUUGAGGUCGUCUUGGAGUCUGUACAUCUGAACUGGAAG